rnacentral:rRNA from 1 species
CAGCAGCCACGGGAAUACAGAGGGUGCGAGCGUUAAUCGGAUUUACUGGGCGUAAAGCGUGCGUAGGCGGCUUUUUAAGUCGGAUGUGAAAUCCCUGAGCUUAACUUAGGAAUUGCAUUCGAUACUGGGAAGCUAGAGUAUGGGAGAGGAUGGUAGAAUUCCAGGUGUAGCGGUGAAAUGCGUAGAGAUCUGGAGGAAUACCGAUGGCGAAGGCAGCCAUCUGGCCUAAUACUGACGCUGAGGUACGAAAGCAUGGGGAGCAAACAGGAUUAGAGACCCCUGUAGUCCCUGUCUCUUAUAA